UUAAAAAGCUCGUAGUUGGAUCUCAACAGCCUUGNAAGCGGUUAACUUUGUAGUUUUACUGCUUUAUAGGCUGUGCUUUUGCUGGAGGUUUAGGGGUGCUCUUGAUCGAGUGUCUCUGGAUGCCAGCAGGUUUACUUUGAAAAAAUUAGAGUGCUCAAAGCAGGCUAAAAUGCCUGAAUAUUCGUGCAUGGAAUAAUAGAAUAGGAUGUCGAUCCUAUUUUGUUGGUUUUCGGGACUCGACAUAAUGAUAAAUAGGGACAGUCGGGGGCAUUUGUAUUCAAACGACAGAGGUGAAAUUCUUGGACCGUUUGAAGACAAACUACUGCGAAAGCAUUUGCCAAGAAUGUUUUCAUUAAUCAAGAAUGAAAGUUAGAGGUUCGAAGGCGAUUAGAUACCGCCCUAGUUCUAACCAUAAACGAUGCCAGCUAGCGAUCUGCCUGCGUUUUUACUGUAGACUGGGCAGGAAGCUUCCGGGAAACCAAAGCAUUUGGGUUCCAGGGGAAGUAUGGUUGCAAAGCUGAAACUUAAAGGAAUUGACGGAAGGGCACCACCAGGAGUGGAGCCUGU
rnacentral:rRNA from 1 species